rnacentral:rRNA from 1 species
GACGAACGCUGGCGGCGUGCUUAACACAUGCAAGUCGAACGAAGAGCGAUGGAAGCUUGCUUCUAUCAAUCUUAGUGGCGAACGGGUGAGUAACGCGUAAUCAACCUGCCCUUCAGAGGGGGACAACAGUUGGAAACGACUGCUAAUACCGCAUACGAUCUGACCUCGGCAUCGAGGAUGGAUGAAAGGUGGCCUCUAUUUAUAAGCUAUCACUGAAGGAGGGGAUUGCGUCUGAUUAGCUAGUUGGAGGGGUAGCGGCCCACCAAGGCGAUGAUCAGUAGCCGGUCUGAGAGGAUGAACGGCCACAUUGGGACUGAGACACGGCCCAGACUCCUACGGGAGGCAGCAGUGGGGAAUCUUCCGCAAUGGACGAAAGUCUGACGGAGCAACGCCGCGUGAGUGAUGACGGCCUUCGGGUUGUAAAGCUCUGUUAAUCGGGACGAAAGGCCUUCUUGCGAAUAGUUAGAAGGAUUGACGGUACCGGAAUAG